rnacentral:rRNA from 1 species
UACGUAGGGACCAAGCGUUGUUCGGAUUUACUGGGCGUAAAGGGCGCGUAGGCGGCUUAACAAGUCACUUGUGAAAUCUCCGGGCUUAACUCGGAACGGCCAAGUGAAACUGUUAUGCUAGAGUGCAGAAGGGGCAAUCGGAAUUCUUGGUGUAGCGGUGAAAUGCGUAGAUAUCGAGAGGAACACCUGCGGCGAAGGCGGGUUGCUGGGCUGAUACUGACGCUGAGGCGCGAAAGCCAGGGGAGCGAACGGG